rnacentral:rRNA from 1 species
UAGGGAAUCUUCCGCAAUGGACGCAAGUCUGACGGAGCAACGCCGCGUGAGUGAAGAAGGUCUUCGGAUCGUAAAGCUCUGUUGUUAGAGAAGAACAGCGCAUAGAGUAACUGUUAUGCGUGUGACGGUAUCUAACCAGAAAGCCACGGCUAACUACGUGCCAGCAGCCGCGGUAAUACGUAGGUGGCGAGCGUUGUCCGGAUUUAUUGGGCGUAAAGGGAGUGUAGGCGGUCUUUUAAGUCUGAUGUGAAAGCCCACGGCUCAACCGUGGAGGGUCAUUGGAAACUGGGAGACUUGAGUGCAGAAGAGGAGAGCGGAAUUCCAUGUGUAGCGGUGAAAUGCGUAGAUAUAUGGAGGAACACCAGUGGCGAAGGCGGCUCUCUGGUCUGUAACUGACGCUGAGGCUCGAAAGCGUGGGGAGCAAACAGGAUUAGAUACCCUGGUA